UUCAAUACAUUUACAUUUUUUUGUUUUGUUUUCAAUUUGCUCUUGAUCUCGUUGUGUGUCUGCGUCGUCGUUGUUGUCGCUAGUCUGAGAUGGCUAAUGUAAUAUGUCUCGAGCUCCUAAGUUUACGAGUGGAUUUUUCUUUGCCGUUUUUUCGGUUUCUUUUUGAGAUUUUUCGACUCGAGAUUACUUUUGCGAAGAAUUCAGCACCUUUUUAAAGUAAUGAUGAUAAAUGAUAUGACAAAAUCUCAACUUUUUGUGACUGUUCGUCUUGCAUAGAAUCUGAGUUGAGAGCAUAAGUGCAAAGAUUUUCCCGGGGGACAAUAUUGGCCAAAUUGGAAUAAUUCUUCACAGGUUUUGGUGCUGCAAUCAAACAACUUCUUCUUUGAUUUCCAUACGGUUGCGAAAUAAAAUGUUAACCACAAAUGGAUGCAGUGAGUAAAGUAUUCGAUGAUGUCGUUACCUACAAAGUAGUUAUUAGUUGUUUCGCAAAACAAACAGAAAAAAAAUAUAAAUGUGUUACUUAUUGGUUGGUAUUGCAAUCAAGCAAAAGAAGCAGCAGUAACGUUGAGUUAUCGACUAACGCUAUACACAAAUAGAUAUUUAUGGCAGCGAAUCAAAACAAGAAAAAAAGGAACUCCGAAAUUUUAAUGCGAAGAAAGGAAAUUUUCGAUUUUUUUUACUAAACUGAUGCAGAGAGAGACUUCUAAUAUCAAACGAUGACUCUCAGCAACUUCAGUUCGUUUUUUUAAAAUAGUCGCUAUCCAAGGCUCAGACCGCAGACAUCGCGCAUCUAUAACCAAUAUUGCCGUUUUUGAAAGGUUCCUACCAAAAUUGGCGGAAUUUUAUUCUCUUGGUAGGUUAAAGUACUUACUGAAAAAAUUAUGUAUUCGUUAAGAGUGCAGAACAAAACCAUGGAUGUCGAGGGGACAAAUACUAUUACUUCAAGCUUCAGUAAAAAAGCUCUGAUAUUGACUGUAACUUGUGCGAGUGUUAUGGGAUCCAAGUUUCGUAAAUUCUUAUUGAUGCGGCUUUUGUGCCUUCCAUCGGAAAACAAGCCUAUAUGGCAGCUGCAUACCAAGAUGGUCAGAACUGACCCAUAUUCAGAGGUUGAGAGAUCCAUGAGAGGGCCAUGCAAUUCAGUGCAACGGCAAUAUGGGUAGUAAGAGCGCAUUACAAUCGGGACAUUUAAAUCGGGAGAACGGUUUAUCCAAACUGGACACGCUUAUUCAUUGAAAUCGGGGCACGAAUAUGACUUUAUGAACCCAAGAUUUCUUAUCGGGAUAUCGGUGUAAAGGGUGCUAUAUCAAGAGCUUUGAAUGUAAGUCUAUAGAGUGAUUUCAACAAACAGAUUGUCGGAAAUGUCUAAAUUCUUCAUGAAUAACCACGCUCCAAUUCUUUGUAGUGUUGAAAAUGUAUAAUAUGAUGUGAUACAAUUGGAGUGGCAAAGUGCCCAACUUUUCGGUGGUGGGUAUAACAUCAUGUAGCAGUUUUGGCUGGUAGAACAUUUGGUUGGUUUUGGUAGGAUUUUUCUUAAAUUUUGGUAGAAAAAAAUUUUCUUGAGUGGCAAAACUGUCUAUAACCCGUUGUCUUUAAGUUAAUUAUUGCCUAUGUAUCGAUAAAUCACACACAAAUAAAGACAACCUUUUUUUAUAGAAAACCCUUA